rnacentral:rRNA from 1 species
AAAUUGAAGAGUUUGAUCAUGGCUCAGAUUGAACGCUGGCGGCAGGCCUAACACAUGCAAGUCGAGCGGAAACGAGUUAUCAGAACCUUCGGGGGACGAUAACGGCGUCGAGCGGCGGACGGGUGAGUAAUGCCUAGGAAAUUGCCCUGAUGUGGGGGAUAACCAUUGGAAACGAUGGCUAAUACCGCAUGAUGCCUACGGGCCAAAGAGGGGGACCUUCGGGCCUCUCGC